GAUGAACGCGGCGGCGUGCCUAAUACAUGCAAGUAGAACGCUGAAGGAGAAGCUUGCUCUUCUGGGUGAGUUGCGAACGGGUGAGUAACGCGUAGGUAACCUGCCUGGUAGCGGGGGAUAACUAUUGGAAACGAUAGCUAAUACCGCAUAACAGUCGACAUUGCAUGAUGUUGAUUUAAAAGGGGCAAUUGCUCCACUACCAGAUGGACCUGCGUUGUAUUAGCUAGUUGGUGAGGUAACGGCUCACCAAGGCGACGAUACAUAGCCGACCUGAGAGGGUGAUCGGCCACACUGGGACUGAGACACGGCCCAGACUCCUACGGGAGGCAGCAGUAGGGAAUCUUCGGCAAUGGGGGCAACCCUGACCGAGCAACGCCGCGUGAGUGAAGAAGGUUUUCGGAUCGUAAAGCUCUGUUGUAAGAGAAGAACGAGUGUGAGAGUGGAAAGUUCACACUGUGACGGUAACUUACCAGAAAGGGACGGCUAACUACGUGCCAGCAGCCGCGGUAAUACGUAGGUCCCGAGCGUUAUCCGGAUUUAUUGGGCGUAAAGCGAGCGCAGGCGGUUAGAUAAGUCUGAAGUUAAAGGCUGUGGCUUAACCAUAGUACGCUUUGGAAACUGUUUAACUUGAGUGCAGAAGGGGAGAGUGGAAUUUCAUGUGUAGCGGUGAAAUGCGUAGAUAUAUGGAGGAACACCGGUGGCGAAAGCGGCUCUCUGGUCUGUAACUGACGCUGAGGCUCGAAAGCGUGGGGAGCAAACAGG
rnacentral:rRNA from 1 species